rnacentral:rRNA from 1 species
UACGUAGGAUCCGAGCGUUGUCCGGAUUUACUGGGUGUAAAGGGCGCGCAGGCGGACUGGUAAGUCAGAGGUGAAAUCUCGUCGCUUAACGACGAAACUGCCUUUGAUACUAUCAGUCUUGAAUCCGGUAGAGAUCUGUGGAAUUCCGAGUGUAGCAGUGAAAUGUGUAGAUAUUCGGAAGAACACCAGUGGCGAAGGCAGCAGAUUGGGCCGGUAUUGACGCUCAGGCACGAAAGCAUGGGGAUCAAACAGG